UUGGUUUGGACCUCACUGCGGCUGAGCAGAUGGGAACAUGGGCAGACUCACUAGGCACCGGGCACCCCCCAGUUCCAGAGACACCAUGGCUGGGUGAAUAAAGCUCUGCACACCUUAUAACAUCAUUCUCCUUCCUUUGGAAAGGAGCCAUGCCCUGCCUUGAGAUGAUUGUUCCCAGACAACUGGGUAACACUGCCAUUAGGUCAUUUUGCUGUUGAACAGACAAUGCUGAGAUAGACAGAGCAGCAGUGAUUCCUACUGUGUCCAAAAUAGGUCUCAGAGUGUGCUUAUGGUGAUGCUUUGUUUGGGUUGUGCUCUGUGGAAGAAAUCUGGGCUACUGUAGAAAUAAUCUAGAUACUUACAACCAGACACAUCAAACUAUGUCCUUGAUACCAGCUCAGACACGUAUGGAAGAAACAAAUAAUCCCCAUAAUCUGUUGGUUUGAUUGUACAAGCUCUAUUCAUGCAAAACUCAAUUUAGCAGAUAACAGUUUAGACCAGUUAUAGGCUUGGAUCUCUCUUUUUUUAAAAAAAAAAAAAAGACUCAGGAUUGGUUUGGAUAGAAGAAAAAACUACAUUACUUUCCUAUACUACAAAGUGAAGCUUUGUGCAUGUGUGCUCCCUUACACACACACUUUGGGCUCCACCUUGCCAACACCACCAGGACUUUGCAAAGGUCAGAUGACCACCUCUCAGGCAGUUUGCUUGCUAUUAUCUGCUUCCACUGAUGGCCAAGCAGCAAAGAAAGCGCUAUGAAAUAGCAAGUCUUCAGAAAGUCUUUGGGCAAGUGCAUUUACAAUAGAAAACACUUUGAUUUAGCAUCAGGAGAAACAUUUGACUGCUUAUUCAGCUCCCAGGACCUCUUCAUAAAACUUCUGUCUGUCACAGAGCUUGCCAAACACAACCACAUUUUUUAUUUGAUGUAAUUCCCUCCAUACACGCUACCUAACAAGCUCUGUAGUCCCUGGACUGGGGUAUAUGGUGCCUUUUUCCUCUUGCAGGCAAGGAACCAAGAGGCAGCAGUGUAUAUUGAGGUAUACUGAGGGAAGCUGCUGCCCACAGCAAAUGAGAGGGAGGAAGGGUGGGAAGCAUUUUUAUGAAAAGCAGCAUAACUCAGCCCCAUGUAAGUCAAAAUAGAUGGGUGGGUCUAAAAUUCAUUCAAUUUUUUUCUGGCCUUCUCCCUUCAUCCAUUCUGGCACCCUACAUGCUCACUCUGUCAGCUCUUCACAGUUUCUCAGACGCUGCAGCCUCCUGCAUCACUCAUCACUCCACACCUAAACACAUUGCAAGAAGUGAUGAAGAGAUAAGAAAUGAGAAAACUAACAUCAGCCAAGAAAAAGAUCUGGAGAAACUAUACCUAAGUGUGUUUGAGAGGAAAACGCAGCUGGGUCGUUGCUGGAAAGGACAAACACAAAGGAACAUACUUCCACAGCCACCAGUGACAACCAGACAUCUCUGACAUUCAGUUUAAUCCUCCCCACCCACACACACUGCUCUUUUACCAUGAGUAAUGUCCUCAGCACUGGAGUAUUAUGCUAAGCAGUCGAAGUUUCUCCCAGCAAAAGCAUGCAGCUGGGUCAGCAGAGAUCAGAGGCUAUGAGAAAAUUCAGACAAGCACAUUCCCCACCCUUCUCUUUAGGAGAGUGGGAAGGAUAUGCCUUACAACUGGCUCCAGGAGAGUUCCCUUCAAUGCUGCUCCUGUUCUCUGCACCAUUACAGUCCGGCAAGGCUGCAGCCCAAACCCCGCUGGCUGCUCUCUGCUGGCCCAGAUCAUACCAUCAUCAGGAGACAAGGAGGAGAAGGGGGGGUCAUACCUCUGGCCAGUGAAACCCCUGAGCAUCAGCCCACCUCUUGGUUGAGGUCUGGGCUUCCACAGCUCGUCUGGCAGCCCAGAGCUCACCCUUCUGUCUGCCUUCAUGCCCUACCCUGACAGCCAGAGGAGCUCUGUUAACACAGAAAGGGGAAGGCAUCCGACACUAUGCAGAGAGGGCUGACCUCACUAAGAUGGUAUAAAAAGACAUGGGUGAGAGGAUUUGCUUAGACAGAUGCUCAAAUGGUGGUCAAGGAGUUACUCAGCCUCACAGCUUCUUUUGCUAACACAUCUUAUAUUAAAACAAACAAAUGAACGAGAUUUUUUAAAAGGCCUCAAAAACAGCCGACUCUUUCCUGAUGGUUUAUUUAAUCCUCUAAAUAAAUCAACACAUCCAGUAAUCAGCAACCAUCUAAGAUACUGUAGUCCAGAACAAUAUCAAUUAUUUAUGCAGUUCACAGGGCUCCUGUCAUUUCCCUGUUUAUACUGGAAAAUAAAUAAACAAAUUUCUCCUGUUAUUUUGAUGCUGCACCCUUCAAAUCCAAAUCAUUUUACAUACCGUAUACAUUUCUUGAUGGACAAAGUGAUUUUUGAGGGUGAAAGGUACCAAAGAGCCUGCAGCCAUACAUAACUUGACAGCUGGGAACAAAAGGAACUUUCUUUCUCCCAAGAAGUCCAACAUUUGAUUUUAGGUGACCUAAAGUUCUAGGGCUUAAAGUUCUCACACAAUGCUGAGGCUGGUAAAUUCACUCCAAAUGUAGAAUUCUCUCUUUAGGCUCUUUGGGGAACUUGCCCAGAACAAGGUGGGUCAGACAUCAUCAACAUGAUUAUACCAUUCACAAAGAAGAGGAACAGAGAAAAGGGAACUCCAGAGUUUGGAGGACAUCAAGCUGCUGCAUAACCACUGACAAAUUAGUCUAAAUAUGUGAACUGAGGAAAAGACAGUCCCAGCUCCUAGGAAAGACAAGAGUACUGCUCUUGAAUGUAGCUCUGGUAGAAGGCAUUUGAUUACUAUCCCAAAAAUUGUGAAAGUUUUUUUCAAGGUAAAAGUGCUCCCUCAGACCCAGGAAACCAAUCUGUAAAAGAUCAAACCUAUCCUGUGCCCCAAAGCACUUUGCCUUUACCCCAAGAAAACUUGCUGCUUCACCCUUGCUACAACUAAGGAAGACUUCUUUGGACUUUUAUCCAAACCCUGGCAGUCAGGGAGAUCAGAAAAGUCUUUUCCUCUUCUCAGUUUGUAUCUUUGAAGCACAGGAUUUUCCAGCAGCUGCUAGGAUUGAUGCUGACUUCAAAGUCACAGGGGCACAACCUGUGCUUUUCACACCUGGUAUGCUCUGACAGAGCAGCCAGGACUCCCUCCAAGCUAAGGCACAAAGCAUCCUGCCAGCCUCUAAACACCAGCCCAGCCACUUCUGCAGGGCCACAAGCACUUGGCAGGUGACACUAAUGACCAGUGUUCCACAGGCCCUUAUCAGCUGUGCAGCUCUGGAGCAGCUCUGCCUGGCGGGGCACAGCGGUGCUGCCACAGCCCCCACCCCUCCCACAGCCAGGUAAACAUCCCAGCAGGAAACAAAGCAACCUUCACCUUCCUGGAAAGUCCAGCAGCUUUCCCCAGCUGCCUCCCUCUGCCCAGACAGCCUCAGAACAAGACCCCUGCACAAUGCUGAGAUUGGCAGUCACAGAGAGCUGGACUGCGUGGCAGAGGAACUGCAGUCAUAGGUGUGCACAGAGGGGACCAGCCAAGGCUUUCAAAUCCACCAAAUCCUAUCACAUCCACCACACCCCAUGUUUCCUUUGGCAGACAGAAGUGAAAGGGGUUCCACUCUGGGGGCAGAGGGCCGCUUGGAAAGCCCCAGCUCUCCCCAUGUCUCAGAAAAAUAACCUGCAGCCAGAGUCUCCUUCCACCUGGGGAAGAGGUUGGAGCCCAGCUCCCAGGGCAGGCCCUUGUGCCACUCGGCUGAGCCCUGGCAUGCAGCAGAGGGACGACAGGCUCCACCCAUGCCAUCAAGGGAUGCCCAUUAGCAAGGUGUCCUGCACCACCAGGGCUCUCCCUCACCACUGGCUCUGGGAGGUCUUUGCUCAGCUUCUUCCUACAAGGGUGGCUGGCUGGCAGGGUAAGGACAUCAGCUGGUACCAAAGCUAAACCUGAUAUCUUUUCACACCACAGGAUGUGGUCACACCACUCCCAUGCUAAACUUCAGACCAUCAAGUCCGGUUUUAUGACUAAAUCAAGCUUUAAAUUUAUAAAGCUGGCUCAGAUGGCCACACUUAAAAGAAAACCAACACACUCAAACACCCAAUUAUGAUCCGAUUCUGUAUUUUAUAUAAAUUCUGAGUUUCAAAAACAGCACAAAUAGAUAAAAUAUCAGACUAAGCAGGGAUGAAUUAAUGUUACAGUGGUCAAAAUCAGCAACAAGCAUCAUGUUGGGAUUUCAUCUUUUUAAUGUAUUUGCAUAACUGGUCUGCCUUGAAACCAUUUUUUCAUUGGAGAACUGGUUUUAUAAGAAAAUGUCCAAUUUUACAGACUCUAAGAGACACCCAUCCUUAAUAGGGUUGCUUUGUCAAAAUGUCAAAAAUUAGGUUUUUGACAUGACAAAACUGCAAACAUCUGCUCUGCCCAUAUUUUGGGUCAGAUGUUCAAGAUCACAAACCACAAGAAUCAUCUCAAUUACACAAUUUAUCAGGCAGUUCCAUAUAUUCAGCUGCAAACAAAACUCCUCAGUGUUUAUCAAAAUCAAAUGCAACCAAACAGGCAACAGCUCAUGUUACCUGAGGAAUGGAGGGGGAUGGGUUCUGUCAACUGCACUGCUUUUCAGACAGCUCCACUUCAUCAGUCUCUGCUUAUACAACGUGCUGCUUCCUCCAUCAGCUCCCAGCCUCAAUGGGAUUGAACUGGGAACUACCCUGUGCAUAGGUCAGCUCUAUAGAAUCUAUUAUCCUGUAUGUAUUGUGCCCAUUCACAUCUCAGAAAGAACUUUCCUCAAAUUCUAUCCCCCUGACUCACUGCAGAACACCACACAAAGAGCAGUAAAGACAAGGGCCUUUCCUACUCCUGUAGGGCAAUCCAGCAGGCUUUGGCCCAGGGUUCAUUACACUGACCAACACAACUUUGUUUUUUUGUUCUGAGCAAAGAUUGCAAUAAAGUGUCCACUAGAACCCUACAGUUUUAAAAAGAAAUGUAAGCCAGAAACAUCUGUGGAGCAUCCAUCCUAAAGAGAUGGGAAACUCCUCAAGUCUCAGGAGCAGCACUUGUGAAAUCCCCAUACUCAGCUUUCACCAGAAAGACCAGUCCAACACAACCAAGAAACCAGAAGUGUUCUCACAACAAGAUGCUCAUGAUGUAUUUGAGCCUGAAGCAGUUUUGAACACAUAUUUCAAGUGGAAAGUGAGGUAGGGCAGUGACAAAAGACGAGGUAAUAAUGUGGAUAUUUCAUACAUGACAAUAUUUCAUCUGCUGCUCCUCUAAGGCACAACCAGACAUUGGUACCAUGCAGAUGCUGUCAGCCAGAAGCCCUUGGGCAGGCUGCUCUGGUGGCUCCCAUACUCAUGGUACCAGUGCUCCUCAUCCUUCUUGGACCCAUGACUGCAACACCAAGCUUCAAUGACUUCCUCCAGAGAACAACUCAAACGGUGCUGCCUCCCACCAACACGACUACAUUGAAGUACAGCUGCUCCCUAGCUGACUGAGGAGCUUGAGAAACCAAAAAAGCCACCAGCAAGAAGCUGAGGCACAGUGGUGAUGAGGGCCAUAAAUACCAAGAUAAGCUCUAAAGCUUAACAGCACAAGGAUGAUGGUGCCAGAAGCCAAACAUGAGCUCCUGGCAGGCAAUGCAGGCUGAAUUUAGGCACCUGGUUCAAAGAGAGCUGCAAGACACCCAGUUCAGAUCUAUGCCUGGAUAGAUGUCUCUCCUGGCAUCCCACCAUGCCAGCACAUGGCACAGCAUGCUGAUCCCACCAGUGCAUCACUGGGACAGGCUUCACUGGCCACAUGGGACAGCACUGACCCCAUACACAGCACACCCAAAUUGCAGUGCUCUCAGUGUCAGGAGCUGCCCCACACACAGGUCAGGCAGCCCAGCCCUGUGCACCCCUGCUAACAGCACUCCCCAUGAGCACAUCUGUGCACCCACCCACCUAGCACCUGCUUGCAGCACAAAGCAAACACAGAAGUGCUGAGGAGGGAGAGCUGCAACCUCCCAUGCUCCCAGGGUAAUGCUCUUAUCACAGGUUACAGCCUCCUCAUCCUCUCACUGGCCUCAGGUAGCCCCCCUAUCUCAUACCACAGUGGAACCAAGGCCCUCACAACCCCUGGCAGACGUCAGUCCUACAGGGAAGGAGGGCUCCAUUCCCAGAAAGGUCUCUGGGGAAAACACAGGUACCAAGUAAAAUAAGCAAGAAUAUUGAAGUUGUAGCCCUGUAAAGUCAUCACACAAGGAGGGAAAAAAAAAUUUAAAACAGGUCAAAACUGGACCAGAUCCCUUUUUACAUGGUAAGGGGAAGACUUGCCAAGAAUUUCACUCCUGAGCCCAGGAGAGAAGUCCAGGAGCCUUACAAGCAAACCACAGGAAAGAUUAAUGACUUGAAGUCUGGGAGGGGAAAUUAAAAGUGUCAAAGGGGUCACAAGAGAAAGCCCUGAUAAGAGCUGCUAAUUGUCAGUAUUUACGUCACCACCAUCAGAGAGGCUAUUUCAUUACAUUUUAGUCUCCAGGGUCACAGUUUCUCAUGAGGUGGUUGUUUUUGCCGCUUUGCUGAUCUACGUCCUUUGGUAUGUGCCUAUAAGCAUUGACAAAGGCGACCAAGAGGGCAAGCAAAGGCAGGCGAGCAUUCAGCCCACCUGGGUGAGACGGGUUCCCACAGGCUGGGCUGCCAAACCCGAACCAGGGCUGAGGGGAUUCCUGCUGUCUGCAGGGUCCCUAUGGACACGGUGAGGAGAGAGGUUCUGUGGGCAGCACAGACCCCGGUCUCCUACAGCAAAAGUCACAGCCAGCCUACAGCUCAGGAAGAACUGGUGAGUUCAAGCCAAAUCACAAGCAGGAUCCUCAGGUGCAGGACAGUGGAGAAGCCCACAGCAGACAUCCCCAGGUCAGUAUGGAUACAAAGCCACAGCAGGGCACUAGUACAAAUUGCUACAGGAACGACCAGAGUAGAUUUUAUUUAAUAAUUUGUACAAGGAACACAAUAGUAAUUCAAUAAUUCCAUUUAUUAAUUGUCAAAUAGUAAUUCACUGCAAUAAGAAACAAAAAAUCAACACAAAAAUAAGUUGCGGUUUGUGUGGAUAUGUGUGUUGUGUGUGUGUGUGUGUGUGUUUGUGUUUAACUUAAACUGGCAAGAGCAAGAACAGAAAAUUAACCUUUAAAUGAGUAUGUUAUAUACAAUCAAUAUCAACAUGUUACUUUGCUGGAUAGAUUUAUUUGGUGUUAUCCAAUCUUACCAACAGGCCUAAACAUUGUUGCAAAUAACUGGAGGGCAAACCCAAAGCAGAACAACAAACCCAUAAAUAAGAUGCAGGAUUCAAGAUAUCUCCUGGAGAAAAUAAACAGUGGUGCUUUGUGUCAUAUCUGAAACCCUUUCAUAAUGAAUAUUUUGUGCUAAAACUCUUUAUGUGAACAUACAUGGAAUUCUAUCACUUAAAUAAAAGUGGAAAAAAAUCCCAACCUUUCACAACUGCCUUUUUUUCCCUCCCUUCACUCAAUGUGUUUAAAUUAUUUCUCUAUACAAGGUAAGUACAUUGUCUGUACAAAGUUAAAUAUACAUAUUUACAGUCAAACUUCUGAGACACAGUCUUCUCUUCCGCUGACCGAGACGGAAGACAAGCCUACUUGAUUUCAACCCCAGGAGCAUGGCUAGUUUAUCAAAACAUUGCAAGUCGUGCUAACAGUUAGUUGUAGUUUACUCUUAAUAAAUCUGUAUAAAAGCAUCAGCAUAAAAAUAGGCAUUUCAUAUUAUUAAAUACGGCUUAUGACAAAAUAGCAAUCUAACCCUUUGCUAUUUGUACGGUAAUUGUAGGAAGCAGAGUCUGACAGAACUGGUUUUGUUUAUACUUUUUCUUAAUAACAAAAAGUCUAUCAAAAGAUUAUUCAUUUGGAUUUCCAGGCAAACAUACAGCCAAGCCAUGUUUUUUUUUUCCUCAAGGAAAUACAAAUCUAUGUAACUGGUAAUAACUGCUGGGAACAGUUUUCCAAAUUGAUUAGACUUUUUUGUAUGGCUAAGAGGCAGUCAAAAUGCAUGUAUUUAUUUGACUGACCAUCAACACUGUAACCAAAAAUGGAAAAAAAAAAAAAGGCACCC